rnacentral:ncRNA from 2 species
CACCUUCUUACUCAUGCCGGUGCCCGUUCGCGGGCGAAGAGGGAAUGCGGUGCGGACGCCUCGGCGUCCAACGCCGCAGCUGCCCCUGCAACUGUAAGCGGAGAGCGGUCGGGCAAAGACCAUUGGAAGCGAUUCCGAGAAGGCGCCCGCACCGCUGCGACCCGCAAGCCAGGAGACCUGCCGGCACGGGGUCGCUCAC